ensembl:rRNA 5S_rRNA 5S ribosomal RNA
GUCUACUGCCAUACCACCCUGAACGCGCCCGAUCUUGUCUGAUCUCAGAAGCUAAGCAGGGUUGGGCCUGGUUAGUACUUGGAUGGGAGGCCACCUGGGAAUACCAGGUGCUGUAGGCU